rnacentral:rRNA from 1 species
GCAACUCUGGGCGGUGGAUCACUCGGCUCGUGUGU